rnacentral:tRNA from 1 species
AUCUGGUUGGCUUAGGCGGUAGAGCAUGGGACUCUUAAUCUCAGGGUUGUGAGUUCAAGCCCCAUGUUGGGCA